AUUGCUUCUUGGCCUUUUGGCUAAGAUCAAGUGUAGUAAGAGUCACAUGCUCCACUGACUGACCCAGCCAGGCACUCCUAUCUUUGACUCUCUCACAUUCUUUGCUAAGCAAGAAGUUCUUAUUUUUACCUAGUUUCUUAAACUUUUUCUACACUUUAACUAUGCUGCCUAAGU
rnacentral:snRNA from 1 species